rnacentral:misc_RNA from 1 species
GUCUGGAAUCCCGAAGAGAUUUGGAGUGCUCGCAAGAGAACCGGAACACAGGUGCUGCAUGGCUGUCGUCAGCUCGUGUCGUGAGAUGUUGGGUUAAGUCCCGCAACGAGCGCAACCCUUGUCAUUAGUUGCUGAAAGGGCACCUAGACUUGAGACUGCCGGUGACAAAACCGGAGGAAGGUGGAUGAUGCCGCGUCCUCAUGGCCCUUAUGGGUAGGGGCUUCACACGUCAUACAAUGGUCGGGACAGAGGGUCGCCAACCCGCGAGGGGGAGCCAAUCCCAGAACCCGGUCGUAGUCCGGAUCGCAGUCUGCAACUCGACUGCGUGAAGUCGGAAUCGCUAGUAAUCGCGGAUCAGCAUGUCGCGGUGAAUACGUUCCCGGGUCUUGUACACACCGCCCGUCACACCAUGGGAGUGGGUUUUACCAGAAGUAGUUAGCCUAAAUCUCGUGGGCGGAGGGCGAUUACCACGGGUAGGAUUCAUGACUGUGGGGUGAAGUCGUAACAAGGCAG